GAGGGGGAAGAAUUGUGUGAUUUUUCUACUUAAAUGCUCAUUGAUUUCACUAAUUAAAGUGAGUAAUUAGAGUGAGUAACUUAAUUAAACAUAAAGAGGGGGUUGAUUUUAAGGUGGUGAAUGCAUUGAAGGAAGGAUUUCAAGCUAGGGUUUGAAGAGGGAGAAGAAGAAAACUUGAUUUUUCUUGCAUUCUUUUCUUAAAUCCUUAUCAAAGUGAGAGGAGGCCGCAGGACCUAAUCAGCAACAAGGGACAUCUUCACGCGCACAGACACCAGGUACAUCGCACCCUCGUUCUGGAAAGUAGAUGCUUGGAUAAAUAAUUUUGUUAUGUGAUUAAUGUAAUUGGAAGAACUAAUGUUUUGUUAUAAUAUACUUCAAUAUCUAAAAAUGUAAUGUUUAACUUAUUAUCUUAUGUAUGAUGUAAUUUAUAAUGUUAUUAUUAUUAUUAAGUUGAAUUAUGGUUGGUUGUGUA